AAUAAUAUCGUCACAAGCCAUACAUACGGGUAGGCGGUGGUCGAAUUGGUAGAGUACUGGGCCCACAUUCACCGCGUGAUGGACGACGCGGGUUCGAAUCCCCACGCUACCACUCGGAUUUUUCAGUCACCACCGAGUGGCUUAAAACUACCCACAUGCUGUCCUGAAGACCACCCAUCAACCCGAACUCUAGAGGAAGCCGUCCAAGCGAAUCAAGAACGAGUUCCGGGGGGCAGCAUGAGCCAAUGCAAGAUGGCGCCACUAUAAACACUCGCCUGCGCCAGAACGGGCUGGGCCGACCAUCAGGCCCCACCUGGAAGAAGCCUUGGGCCGACCAUCAGGCCCCACCAGGAAGAUGCCUACCGGCGCAACAGGCAGCGACGUAAAAAAAAAAAAAAAAAAAAAAAAAAAAAAACUUAUAAAUAGACAAAUGAACAGAAACUACCGCACCAACUACUAACCCUAUUUCCAUUUCCCUAUUUCACUGGUUUUCGGCCCAUUACUAACAUCUUCCUAUUUCUCCCCAUUUCCCUACGCCCCUUGCAAGUUCAAAUUGUGGUAAAAACAUGGAUGACUAAGGAAAAUUGCCCUGUGUCCUAUUUUACCCUAUUUUUUUGGUUAUGAAGAUUCCCCCAUUUCCCUUACCUAUUUCCCUAUGCUAUCAAGAUUUCACCAUUUCUCUGUCGACACAUAUUUCUCUAUAUUAGCAAGAGUUCUCCAUUAACCUCUGUUAGCAAGAGUUUCCUAUUUUCGUAACCUAUUUUCCUAAGUUAUCAAGAGUUACCCAUUUCCCUGUUUUCAUAUUGAUCUGUUUUUCCAAUAUACUGCAAGGUGAGAUGAGCUUUAAAGAUGAAGAAGAGCCUGCUAUUCUUCCUAUUUCCUUAUUCUUCCCCGGUUUCAUCAUAUCAGCAUCCUAUAUUUGCCUGUUUAUCUGUUUCUUUAAGUUACUGCAAGGGUUCCUGGGAAAUAGCUUGGUAGAUAAAGAUAGAUAAAAAAAAGCAGAGGGCAUAUUGGGUAUUAAGAGGGUUACAUUCUUAAACCUGAGCACACAUAUUUGACAGGGCCUUCAUAGGUGUUGUGGGCAUUUUCGUGUGUAGUUUUAAGACCCUGGUCAUAGCUUCUUCUGUACCAUGAACCUCAAAAAACACUCGUUAAAUCCCUCUUCAGCUUUUGAAAAUAGGUGAUGUAAGAGAUGGAAGCGUGUGGAAAUACAGACCAGAGUGUCGUAGUAAGGGGAAGGGGUUCUGAGUUUGGUGUGAGGUGGGUGGGAAACGGAGGUGUGGGUGGUGAUGGUGUUCUGGGGUGUGAGUGCUGGGGAAAGGAGGUGCUACUUGGUGGUGAAGCGUGUAAUGGUAAUCAAAAAGGUUCGAAAGGGUCAGGGUUGUUUGAUUUAUAUCAAGUUGAUUUAAAUCAAGAUUUAAAUAAUUUUUUUUUAAUCAUUGAUUUAAAUCAAGAUUUGUUAUUUCAUUUUUUUGAUGUCGUUGAUUUAAAUCUUGAUCUUAUUGCAGGGCAACAACGUAGAAUGGAGAAAAUAAACAAAGAAAACACUCUAACUUUGAUAUCAAUAUUUUCCAUGACAACUUCACAAAUUUUCCUGAGUGAUUAGUCCAUUGUAUAUAUCUUCCGUCAGCCACACCUGGUCCGUCCAGUGUCCUGGAGCAGAACAAGACACUGACCGCCUUUCUGACAGUAUCUUGCUGAGGAAGGGUGAUGGUUUCAAAAGUGUUUUACAACAUGAGCCCCAUGUUCCUCUAUGUACUCAGCCAUAACGCUUGCUCCCAUCUUUACUUUUUGGCUGGCCCCAGCCAGUUGGUGGAGCAGGGAACU